GAUGAACGCUGGCGGCGUGCCUAAUACAUGCAAGUAGAACGCUGAAGCUUGGUGCUUGCACCGAGCGGAUGAGUUGCGAACGGGUGAGUAACGCGUAGGUAACCUGCCUGGUAGCGGGGGAUAACUAUUGGAAACGAUAGCUAAUACCGCAUAACAGUAGAUAUUGCAUGAUAUCUGCUUGAAAGGUGCAAAUGCAUCACUACCAGAUGGACCUGCGUUGUAUUAGCUAGUUGGUGAGGUAACGGCUCACCAAGGCGACGAUACAUAGCCGACCUGAGAGGGUGAUCGGCCACACUGGGACUGAGACACGGCCCAGACUCCUACGGGAGGCAGCAGUAGGGAAUCUUCGGCAAUGGGGGGAACCCUGACCGAGCAACGCCGCGUGAGUGAAGAAGGUUUUCGGAUCGUAAAGCUCGGUUGUAAGAGAAGAACGAGUGUGAGAGUGGAAAGUUCACACUGUGACGGUAGCUUACCAGAAAGGGACGGCUAACUACGUG
rnacentral:rRNA from 1 species